GCCAGGUGUGGUGGCCACGCCUGUAAUCCCAGUGACUCAGGAGGCUGAGGCAGGAAGAUCACGAGUUUAAAGCCAGCCUCAGCAGUAGCAAGGCACUAAGCAACUCAGUGAGACCCUGUCUCUA
rnacentral:sRNA from 1 species